UUGGCCACUUCCAUGCGCCACCGCGUGCGCAACGACCGGAAGCGGACGCACAUCUCGUCGCAGAACAGCAAGUACAGCAGCGGAAAUAUCGAACUCAUGUACCUGCGGCAGCGUGAUAACCGGAUUACCGGAUGAUGAACAAUUUGCUACACAAAUCUACUCCACCGCAGUAUCGUCUAUAGAAACGCGUCCUGUGUUAGUUUUUAUAGAGAAAUAAUAUAAUUUAUUAUAGUAUUUUGUAUUUCCAUCGCCCGUGCACUCGUUUAGUUAUUGGGUACCUACGUAGACUAUACUGUAUCAAUAUAUCAUGUAUACACUGAAGUAACCCAUACGGCUGCAAUUUACCUACUUUUGUAAAACUGAUAUAUUAUUAUAACGAAAUAAAGAAAAAUAUUUUAACAAUAAUAGGUAGUUAAGUAUAAUAUAUAGACUCGAGUUGGUAAUAAUAUUACGACUUUAUGUAACAUUAUAAUGAUAAUAAUAAGAAAACACCAUACACCCACGUCUACAUAUGUGCCUACCCAUAUUAUGGUCUCUGUUGGUCAAUUUCCUUACGUGCGAAAUAAAUAUAAACUACUUUCUUCACUGCAGUUUAUAUUAUACACGAUUACGAAUGUAUUUUCUGCAGUGCAUAUUAUUUAAAUUCAAUGUGUCCGACUUUAACACCUAAUAAGUAAUAACUGUGAUUUCAACAGUGCCGCGUGCCCAGAUAACAAUAUCAUUUUGUUUGUACGAUACGUUUAUGUGCGACUGCAGACGCAGAUCAGAGAAGAGUAAGGGCUAUAUGCCUAUAUGGUAUGGUAAAGGGCUAUUCCCCCUUUAUGUGCUAUAAUGUUAUACGAUAUUGUGUUUAAAUACUUAAUUUCUCAAUAAACUAAUAAAUUAUACAUUUAUUUUUUUUGGAAUUUGGUCGAUUGACAAUCGAAGAAUAGGAUAUUUUCGAUAUUUGCCACCCUUUAUGAUACAUAGCAGCACAUUUUAUUUCACUUGAAGGGAUUCGAAUCGGACUGGUUUUCAUGAUACGAUGUUUUAUUUUCAUUUAGAUGUUCUGAAUACUGAUUGAUCUAAUUCCAUGAUAUGGAUUUUGAAAGCGUGUUUGGAUUUCUAAUUUUGUAUUUUAUUGAGAUCUAACUUUUAAACAAAUUUAAUUAUCAAAGUAUUUGACUUUUCAAAAUGUAAACAUGUAAUUACGAUUUUUCAGAUAAAUAAAUUGAAAAUGUUGUUCGCAGGUUCUAAAAUAAAUAUAUUAAAACGUUCAAAUCCUUUUUAAAUAUCAAAAUUCAUAAAAUGUUUCAUUUUAAUACCUCGGGCUUGAAAAUGUAACACAAGAUGUCUUAACUUGAUCUAACUGGAAUAUAAAAAAGAAGUAGAAACACAAUAUCCUUGCGUCAUAAUUCAUAGUAUAUAAUAUUAUGGGUGGGAAUUUAAUGUAUUUUUACAGGUGGCAAUUGCCCGGUAUCACUAGAAAUGUACUGGUGAAAACAUUGACAGAGAUUAAUUUUUUUUUGUCAAUAUCAAUUUUGAAACUAUUUUGAAAAACUAUAAUUUUUUAUAUUUUUCGGCUGUCUAAAAAAAAAAAACCUUAACCAUCUUUUCACAUCAUUUGAAAUUUCUAGAUCUGCGUCUAGGUCUGCUCGUGAGUUCCUAAUAGAUUUAAUAUAUUAUCGGUGAUUAUGGCGAUGCCACUAUUUUAAAACGCAUACCUCAAAACCGAUUCGUAGAACACUUUGGCCGAAAUUUUGUUUACCAAAAUAUCAAUGCAGCCGCACGCGAGCAACGUAAACGUACAUCCCAGAUAGGCGAUCACGUAGUAGCGGGGCCGAGUUCUUUGUUCCGUAGGCCGACCUUAUUUCGAAUCGAACCGGUUUGUGUUCUCGAUGAUUUUCGGCAAACGCAUGUCGACGUAGAUCGACGUCAGUUGACUUAGAAAUUCCCUCAGUAUGAAAUUUAUCGUCCAAAACCACAGGGUAGCUGUCGGAUUUCUUAUGGCUUUCAACACCAACAAAUAGCAUGGCGUUAUGUAUGUUACCUUGAUCGACAAUCAUUGAAAACACGUUUUUCAGGUUUUUAAUAAGCAAGCAGACAUUUUAAGCUGUCCAGUUUUGAAUUUCAGAUCAGACAUGAUGUUUUGUUUAGUUU